rnacentral:rRNA from 1 species
UACGUAGGGUGCAAGCGUUAAUCGGAAUUACUGGGCGUAAAGCGUGCGCAGGCGGUUGUGCAAGACAGAUGUGAAAUCCCCGGGCUCAACCUGGGAACUGCAUUUGUGACUGCACGGCUGGAGUGCGGCAGAGGGGGAUGGAAUUCCGCGUGUAGCAGUGAAAUGCGUAGAUAUGCGGAGGAACACCGAUGGCGAAGGCAAUCCCCGUGGGCCUGCACUGACGCUGAGACGCGAAAGCGUGGGGAG